UACAGAGGGUGCAAGCGUUGUUCGGAAUCACUGGGCGUAAAGGGCGCGUAGGCGGCCGAUUAAGUCGGGGGUGAAAGCCUGUGGCUCAACCACAGAAUUGCCUUCGAUACUGGUUGGCUUGAGACCGGAAGAGGACAGCGGAACUGCGAGUGUAGAGGUGAAAUUCGUAGAUAUUCGCAAGAACACCAGUGGCGAAGGCGGCUGUCUGGUCCGGUUCUGACGCUGAGGCGCGAAAGCGUGGGGAGCAAACAGG
rnacentral:rRNA from 1 species